ACUGGUGCGCGAGAUGAGUAUUCUAAGGCGCUUGAGAGAACUCAGGAGAAGGAACUCGGCAAAUUGACACCGUAACUUCGGAAGAAGGUGUGCCUUUAGUAGGUGAAGGGAUUUACUCCUGGAGCCCAAUGAGGUUGCAAAAAAUCGGUGGCUGCGACUGUUUAUUAAAAACACAGCACUCUGCAAACACGAAAGUGGACGUAUAGGGUGUGACGCCUGCCCGGUGCUGGAAGAUUAAAUGAUGGGGUGCAAGCUCUUGAUUGAAGUCCCAGUAAACGGCGGCCGUAACAAUAACGGUCCUAAGGUAGCGAAAUUCCUUGUCGGGUAAGUUCCGACCUGCACGAAUGGCGUAACGAUGGCCACACUGUCUCCUCCUGAGACUCAGCGAAGUUGAAAUGUUUGUGAUGAUGCAAUCUCCCCGCGGAAAGACGGAAAGACCCCAUGAACCUUUACUGUAGCUUUGUAUUGGACUUUGAACAGAUCUGUGUAGGAUAGGUGGGAGGCUUUGAAGCAGGGUCGCUAGAUCUUGUGGAGCCAACGUUGAAAUACCACCCUGGUGUGUUUGAGGUUCUAACCUAGGCCCGUAAUCCGGGUUGGGGACAGUGCAUGGUAGGCAGUUUGACUGGGGCGGUCUCCUCCCAAAGUGUAACGGAGGAGUUCGAAGGUACGCUAGUUACGGUCGGACAUCGUGACGAUAGUGCAAUGGCAUAAGCGUGCUUAACUGCGAGACUGACAAGUCGAGCAGAUGCGAAAGCAGGACAUAGUGAUCCGGUGGUUCUGUAUGGAAGGGCCAUCGCUCAACGGAUAAAAGGUACUCUGGGGAUAACAGGCUGAUACCGCCCAAGAGUUCAUAUCGACGGCGGUGUUUGGCACCUCGAUGUCGGCUCAUCUCAUCCUGGGGCUGUAGCCGGUCCCAAGGGUAUGGCUGUUCGCCAUUUAAAGAGGUACGUGAGCUGGGUUUAAAACGUCGUGAGACAGUUUGGUCCCUAUCUUCCGUGGGCGCUGCAGAUUUGAGGAAGCCUGCUCCUAGUACGAGAGGACCGGAGUGGACGCACCUCUGGUGUAUCGGUUGUCACGCCAGUGGCAUUGCCGAGUAGCUAUGUGCGGAAGAGAUAACCGCUGAAAGCAUCUAAGCGGGAAACUCGUUUCAAGAUGAGAUCUGCCGGGGCCUUGAGCCCCCUGAAGAGUCGUUCAAGACCAGGACGUUGAUAGGUCGGGUGUGGAAGCGCAGUAAUGCGUUAAGCUAACCGAUACUAAUUGCUCGUGCGGCUUGACCA
rnacentral:rRNA from 1 species